rnacentral:rRNA from 1 species
AAACGGGCGAGUAAUACAUAUUUAACUUACUUUUACGAGGAGGAUAGCAGUUCGAAAGGACUAUUAAUACUCCAUAGGUUUAUAAACUAAAUCAAAGAGGCUCCCUCGGGGGCCUCGCGUGAAAAUAGGAAUAUGUCCUAUUAGGUAGUUGGCGGGGUAAAGGCCCACCAAGCCAGUGAUGGGUAGCUGGACUGAGAGGUUGAACAGCCGCAAUGGGAUUGAGAUAUGGCCCAUAUUCCUACGGGAAGCAGCAGUGAGGAAUUUUUCACAAUGGACGAAAGUCUGAUGGAGCAAUACCACGUGAACGAUGAAGGUCUUCUGAUUGUAAAGUUCUUUUAUUUAGGAAAAAAAGCGCGCUAGGAAAUGAGCGCGCCUUGAUGGUACUAAUUGAAUAAGUGACAGCUAACUAUGUGCCAGCAGCUGCGGUAAAACAUAGGUCACGAGCAUUAUCCGGAUUUAUUGGGCGUAAAGGAAGCGUAGGUGGGGAGGUUGAUCCAUUGUUAAAGGCAUUUGCUUAACAAAUGUGUGCGAUGGAGAUCGCCUCCCUAGAGUUAAUCAGGGGGUACUGGAAUUCAAUGUGUAGCGGUGGAAUGCGUAGAUAUAUUGAGGAACACCAGAGGCUAAGGCGAGUACCUAGGAUAUAACUGACACUGAGGCUUGAAAGCGUGGGGAGCAAAUGGGAUUAGAUACCCCAGUAGUCCACGCCGUAAACGAUGGGCAUUAGGUAUUUGACAUCUAGUCGAGUGCUGUAGCUAACGCGUUAAAUGCCCCGCCUGGGUAGUAUAUAUGCAAAUAUGAAACUC